GAAGCUUUGGGAAUGAAAUCAGGCCUUUUAUGGUCACCCAUGCAGAUGGAACUGGGUUAGUAGCCUCCCCCUUCUUUUGCCUUUGGGAAGCUCUGAGAGAAAGGCCAAGCACUACCCCAGGAGGUGCCACCUUGAGAAGGUGGGUGAGUUACCAGCAAGGUGGGUCUCCAGUGAAGCUUGAGAAGCAGCCAAAGUGAUAUUUCUGCCUCCUUUCUACCUCUGUGGCUUGCCUGGAAUUUGGGAAUGACUCAUGGCCAGCAGUUAUGAGUGCAAGGAGCAGAGGUGAAGUAAGGCUAGGAAGAAACUCUCCUCGCGGCCAUGUCCAGGUGAACGCCAUCCUACUUC
rnacentral:RNase_P_RNA from 1 species